rnacentral:rRNA from 1 species
UACGUAGGGCGCAAGCGUUGUCCGGAAUUAUUGGGCGUAAAGAGCUCGUAGGCGGUUUGUCGCGUCUGCUGUGAAAACCUAAGGCUCAACCUUGGGCUUGCAGUGGGUACGGGCAGACUAGAGUGCGGUAGGGGUGACUGGAAUUCCUGGUGUAGCGGUGGAAUGCGCAGAUAUCAGGAGGAACACCGGUGGCGAAGGCGGGUCUCUGGGCAACAACUGACGCUGAGGAGCGAAAGCGUGGGGAGCGAACAGG